rnacentral:rRNA from 1 species
UACGUAGGGUGCAAGCGUUAAUCGGAAUUACUGGGCGUAAAGCGUGCGCAGGCGGUCUCGUAAGUCAGAUGUGAAAUCCCCGAGCUCAACUUGGGAACUGCAUCCGAAACUGCGAGACUAGAGUGUGUCAGAGGGAGGUAGAAUUCCACGUGUAGCAGUGAAAUGCGUAGAUAUGUGGAGGAAUACCAGUGGCGAAGGCGGCCUCCUGGGAUAACACUGACGCUCAUGUACGAAAGCGUGGGGAGCAAACAGGAUUAGAUACCCUGGUAGUCCACGCCCUAAACGAUGUCAACUGGUUGUUGGGUCUUCAUUGACUUAGUAACGAAGCUAACGCGUGAAGUUGACCGCCUGGGGAGUACGGUCGCAAGAUUA